UAGUUAACCACUCUGCAGUGUAGAGUAACU
rnacentral:piRNA from 1 species